GUGGGGAAUCUUAGACAAUGGGGGAAACCCUGAUCUAGCCAUGCCGCGUGAUCGAUGAAGGCCUUAGGGUUGUAAAGAUCUUUCAGGUGGGAAGAUAAUGACUGUACCACCAGAAGAAGCCCCGGCUAACUCCGUGCCAGCAGCCGCGGUAAUACGGAGGGGGCUAGCGUUGUUCGGAAUUACUGGGCGUAAAGCGCACGUAGGCGGAUUGGAAAGUUGGGGGUGAAAUCCCGGGGCUCAACCCCGGAACUGCCUUCAAAACUCCCAGUCUUGAGUUCGAGAGAGGUGAGUGGAAUUCCGAGUGUAGAGGUGCAAUUCGUAGAUAUUCGGAGGAACACCAGUGGCGAAGGCGGCUCACUGGCUCGAUACUGACGCUGAGGUGCGAAAGCGUGGGGAGCAAACAGGAUUAGAAACCCGGGUAGUCC
rnacentral:rRNA from 1 species